rnacentral:rRNA from 1 species
UGGGGAAUAUUGGGCAAUGGACGCAAGUCUGACCCAGCGACGCCGCGUGCGGGAUGAAGGCCUUCGGGUUGUAAACCGCUUUCAGCAGGGAAGAAGCGAAAGUGACGGUACCUGCAAAAGAAGCACCGGCUAACUAUGUGCCAGCAGCCGCGGUAAUACAUAGGGUGCAAGCGUUGUCCGGAAUUAUUGGGCGUAAAGAGCUCGUAGGUGGUUCGUCACGUCGGAUGUGAAAAUCUGGGGCUCAACCCCAGACCUGCAUUCGAUACGAGCGAGCUAGAGUUUGGUAGGGGAGACUGGAAUUCCUGGUGUAGCGGUGGAAUGCGCAGAUAUCAGGAGGAACACCAAUGGCGAAGGCAGGUCUCUGGGCCAAUACUGACACUGAGGAGCGAGAGCGUGGGGAGCGAACAGG